GGCUCAGAACGAACGCUGGCGGCGUGCCUAACACAUGCAAGUCGAGCGGGAAAGCCCGCAAGGGUGAGUACAGCGGCGCACGGGUGCGUAACACGUGGGUAAUCUGCCCUGAAGCUCGGGAUAACUCGCCGAAAGGCGUGCUAAUACCGGAUAAGACCACGGGAGCCUCGGCUCCUGCGGGAAAAGGUGGCCUCUGCAUGCAAGCUAUCACUUCAGGAUGAGCCCGCGGCCCAUCAGCUCGUUGGCGGGGUAACGGCCCACCAAGGCUACGACGGGUAGCUGGUCUGAGAGGACGAUCAGCCACACUGGAACUGAGACACGGUCCAGACUCCUACGGGAGGCAGCAGUGGGGAAUCUUGCGCAAUGGGCGAAAGCCUGACGCAGCAACGCCGCGUGUGUGAUGAAGGUCUUCGGAUCGUAAAGCACUGUCGGGAGGGACGAAUAAGGGCCGGGUGAACAAUCCGGUCCGAUGACGGUACCUCCAAAGGAAGCACCGGCUAACUCUGUGCCAGCAGCCGCGGUAAUACAGAGGGUGCAAGCGUUGUUCGGAAUUAUUGGGCGUAAAGCGCGUGUAGGCGGUCUCGCAAGUCGGAUGUUAAAGCCCUCGGCUUAACCGAGGAGGUGCGUUCGAAACUACGAGACUUGAGUACCGGAGAGGGUGGCGGAAUUCCCGGUGUAGAGGUGAAAUUCGUAGAUAUCGGGAGGAACACCAGUGGCGAAGGCGGCCACCUGGACGGCUACUGACGCUGAGACGCGAAAGCGUGGGGAGCAAACAGGAUUAGAUACCCUGGUAGUCCACGCUGUAAACGAUGAGCGCUAGGUGUUGUGGGUGUUGACCCCCGCAGUGCCGCAGCUAACGCAUUAAGCGCUCCGCCUGGGA
rnacentral:rRNA from 1 species